rnacentral:rRNA from 1 species
AUUGAACGCUGGCGGCAGGCCUAACACAUGCAAGUCGAGCGGAUGAGUGGAGCUUGCUCCAUGAUUCAGCGGCGGACGGGCGAGUAAUGCCUAGGAAUCUGCCUGGUAGUGGGGGACAACGUUUCGAAAGGAACGCUAAUACCGCAUACGUCCUACGGGAGAAAGUGGGGGAUCUUCGGACCUCACGCUAUCAGAUGAGCCUAGGUCGGAUUAGCUAGUUGGUGAGGUAAAGGCUCACCAAGGCGACGAUCCGUAACUGGUCUGAGAGGAUGAUCAGUCACACUGGAACUGAGACACGGGCCAGACUCCUACGGGAGGAAGCAGUUGGGAAUAUUGGACAAUGGGCGAAAGCCUGAUCCAGCCAUGCCGCGUGUGUGAAGAAGGUCUUCGGAUUGUAAAGCACUUUAAGUUGGGAGGAAGGGCAGUAAGUUAAUACCUUGCUGUUUUGACGUUACCAACAGAAUAAGCACCGGCUAACUUCGUGCCAGCAGCCGCCGUAAAAC